rnacentral:rRNA from 1 species
UACAGAGACUGCAAGCGUUAUUCGGAUUCACUGGGCGUAAAGCGUGCGCAGGCGGUUCGUUGUGUCCGAUGUGAAAGCCCCGGGCUUAACCUGGGAAUGGCAUUGGAAACUGGCGGGCUUGAGUGCGGCAGAGGGGGGUGGAAUUCCGCGUGUAGCAGUGAAAUGCGUAGAGAUGCGGAGGAACACCGAUGGCGAAGGCAGCCCCCUGGGUCGACACUGACGCCUCAGGCACGAAAGCGUGGGGAGCAAACAGG